rnacentral:rRNA from 1 species
AACGAACGCUGGCGGCGCGCUUAACACAUGCAAGUCGAACGAGAAGGCGUAGCAAUACGCUUGUAAAGUGGCGAACGGGUGAGGAAUACAUGGGGUAACCUACCCUCGAGUGGGGGAUAACCCGCCGAAAGGCGGGCUAAUACCGCGUACGCUUCCGAUCUUGCGGGAUCGGAAGGAAAGCUGUCCCAAGGGGAUGGCGCUCAAGGAUGGGGCCC